AGUGGCUUACAAAUUCAGUGCUUCUCCCGCUUUUUGUUUAAGGUUCAAUGCUUGGCUAAUAAGCUAAACUCGCGUGAUUGAUGUGCGUUUUGGGGAUUACAUGGCCCUUGUGGGGCUGACCUUUGCAGUCGCUCAGCAGCUGUUUUCGGUUUUCUUCUGCCGGACUUACAAACGGCUGCAGUUGUUCUACAAUAUCUGUGUAUCUGUAUAUCUGCCAGCAUAUCUCUGAUGUGGCAUCAACUGCGUGCCACGCCCGACUGUCUGCAGCUGGGUUUCAGGGUUUCUGCUGCUUCAACGGAGUCAAGACUCGAUGCUGGGCACAAUACUGAUUGCAUUUAGCGAUAAAUUAACCAAUGAAUACAAUUAAAAUAGGAAUACUCGCACUGCAACAACUUUGCCAAGGGCAACGGGGCGAGACCUUCGCAGAGAACACGGGAAAAAAUACAAGUCAAUCGAUUUUAGAAGAAAUUCUAAUACGAAUAUGUUAAAGGCUUUAAUCAAAACUUAAGUGCUGACCUAAGGACUCCUAUACCAAGUUAAAAGAUUUUCUCUCAGUGUGGUUCUGAAAAAGCGUCCCCAAGGGCAAUGUAGCCGAUCAACCUUCAGUUCGCUACGAAUCGAUGCGAUUUCUCUCAAAAUCAAUUGCAUGCUGUACUUUAUUGUGUGCCAUAUAGUUGUGUCUACAUGAGUCGAGGAAAACAGUGCCCCAAGCCGAAAACUGAAAAGCCAAAUAAAUCCAAUCCG
ensembl:ncRNA asRNA:CR44176 antisense RNA:CR44176